rfam:Felis catus isolate Cinnamon breed Abyssinian chromosome B3, whole genome shotgun sequence.
CCUUCGAUAGCUCAGCUGGUAGAGCGGAGGACUGUAGUGCGCUUCCCGUGCGGUCAUCCUUAGGUCGCUGGUUCGAUUCCGGCUCGAAGGA